UACGAGAUGUAGAGAGGUCUCGUGGGCUCGGAGAUGUGUAUAAGAGACAGAGUUCGAACAGAGCGUUCAGUCGUUAGGCGUAGACCCGAAACCAGAUGAUCUAUCCAUGGCCAGGUUGAAGGUGUGGUAACACACACUGGAGGACCGAACCGACUAGUGUUGCAAAAUUAGCGGAUGAGCUGUGGAUAGGGGUGAAAGGCUAAACAAAUCUGGAGAUAGCUGGUUCUCCCCGAAAACUAUUGAGGUAGUGCCUCGUGUAUGACUCCAGGGGGUAGAGCACUGUUAUGGCUAGGGGGACAUGGCGUCUUACCAAACCAUGGCAAACUCCGAAUACUUGGAAGUUUGAGCACGGGAGACAGAGCACCGGGUGCUAACGUCCGGACUCAAGAGGGAAACAACCCAGACCGCCGGCUAAGGUCCCUAAUAUUGACUAAGUGGAAAACGAAGUGGAAAGGCUAAGACAGUCAGGAAGUUGGCUUAGAAGCAGCCAUCCUUCAAAGAAAGCGUAAUAGCUCACUGAUCGAGUCUUUCUGCGCGGAAGAUGUAACGGGGCUAAGUCAAUAACCGAAGCCGCGGAUUCACACUUAUGUGUGAGUGGUAGGGGAGCGUUCUGUAAGCCUGCGAAGGUGACUCGUAAGGGUUGCUGGAGGUAUCAGAAGUGCGAAUGCUGACAUGAGUAACGUUAAAGCGGGUGAAAAGCCCGCUCGCCGUAAGCCCAAGGUUUCCUGCUCUACGUUCAUCGGAGCAGGGUGAGUCGGCCCCUAAGGUGAGGCUGAGAAGCGUAACUGAUGGGAACAAGGUUAAUAUUCCUUGACCACCGCUGAAUGCGAAGGGGGGACGGAGUAUUGAAGAUCAUCCGGGUGUUGGAUAUCCCGGUUUGCGAGCGUAGGAGGCUGACAGGCAAAUCCGUCAGCGAAUCUCCGAGGCAAAGCAUCGAGCUCUCUUUUGAGCGAAGUGAUUGGAUGUGCUUCCAGGAAAAGCCUCUAAGCUCCAGUUCAGCGGGACCGUACCGCAAACCGACACUGGUGGGCGAGCUGAAUAUGCUCAGGCGCUUGAGAGAACUCAGGAGAAGGAACUCGGCAAAUUGACACCGUAACUUCGGGAUAAGGUGUGCCUUUGUAGCGUGGAGGGAGAAACACCCCGAGCGCGAAGAGGUCUCAGAUAAUCGGUGGCUGCGACUGUUUAUUAAAAACACAGCACUCUGCAAAGACGAAAGUCGACGUAUAGGGUGUGAUGCCUGCCCGGUGCUGGAAGAUUAAUUGAUGGGGUGCAAGCUCCUGAUCGAAGUCCCAGUAAACGGCGGCCGUAACUAUAACGGUCCUAAGGUAGCGAAAUUCCUUGUCGGGCAAGUUCCGACCUGCACGAAUGGCAUAACGAUGGCCACACUGUCUCCUCCUGAGACUCAGUGAAGUUGAAGUGUUUGUGAUGAUGCAAUCUCCCCGCGGCUAGACGGAAAGACCCCAUGAACCUUUACUGUAGCUUUGCAUUGGACUUUGAACCGAUCUGUGUAGGAUAGGCGGGAGCCUGUGAAACCACAACGCCAGUUGUGGCGGAGGCGUCCUUGAAAUACCGCCCUGAUUUGUUUGAGGUUCUAACCUGGGACAGUUAUCCUGUCCGGGGACCGUGCAUGGUAGGCAGUUUGACUGGGGCGGUCUCCUCCUAAAGGGUAACGGAGGAGUGCGAAGGUACGCUAGGUACGGUCGGAAAUCGUGCUGAUAGUGCAAUGGCAAAAGCGUGCUUGACUGCGAGACCCACAAGUCGAGCAGAUACGAAAGUAGGUCAUAGUGAUCCGGUGGCUCUGUAUGGAAGGGCCAUCGCUCAACGGAUAAAAGGUACUCUGGGGAUAACAGGCUGAUACCGCCCAAGAGUUCAUAUCGACGGCGGUGUUUGGCACCUCGAUGUCGGCUCAUCUCAUCCUGGGGCUGUAGCCGGUCCCAAGGGUAUGGCUGUUCGCCAUUUAAAGAGGUACGUGAGCUGGGUUUAAAACGUCGUGAGACAGUUUUGUCCCUAUCUGCCGUGGGCGCUGGAAGAUUGACGGGGGCUGCUCCUAGUACGAGAGGACCGGAGUGGACUCACCUCUGGUGUACCGGUUGUCACGCCAGUGGCAUCGCCGGGUAGCUAUGUGGGGAAGAGAUAACCGCUGAAAGCAUCUAAGCGGGAAACUUGCCUGAAGAUAAGUCUUCCUGGAGGCUAGACCUCCCUAAAGAGUCGUUCGAGACCAGGACGUUGAUAGGAUGGGUGUGUAAGUGCUGUGAGGCACUCAGCUAACCAUUACUAAUUGCUCGUGAAGCUUGAUCC
rnacentral:rRNA from 1 species